rnacentral:lncRNA from 1 species
UUCGCCAGGAAUGUGAUCUGAGCAGAUUUACACCUUUCACAAGACACCCUCUAGUGCAGAAGGCUCCCUUCCCAUUGUUUCGCAGCCUGGCGGCUUCUCCAACCCUCCCUGGGAAGCCCUGCCCUGCAUUGCACCCUCACCCGCUGACCAGAGCCUCACCUGUCCUUCUGUGGCCCUUUAAUUGUGCAACCUUCCAUUUUACAGACCAAUCAAAGGCAUGUGAUUAGGCUCGUAAAGCAAAGCCGUGAGGCCUCCUCCGUUUCCUCCAUUCCCUCAUGGGGAGUGCUCCGUUUGUUGAAGAAACCAAAAGCAGAGCACGGACAGUCUCGAAGGAAUCUGGCUGGAACUUCGAACUUUACCUGGAGGAUGCUGUGUGUUGAAGCUUCGUGAGGAAGUGGGGAGUGUGGAAACAUGAGCUCCGGUGUGGCUGUCUCUAAUGGCGUCAAGGGUUUCCUGAUAUGCAGGUGCACAAGCCAUCACUGCCAGUGGAGGUGAAGAAGCACGAGAAGGUGGUGCUCUAAGACCUACAGGAGGACAAGAAGGUCCUCUGGGAGAAGGGCCAGGAGGUCCUGGUAAGUGACGUGGGCCAGGCUGGUGACAACCCCUGUGCCACCAUUGUCAAGACACUGGUGGCCAAGGACUGCCGCAGCAUCCUGUAUGAUGCAAAC